rnacentral:lncRNA from 1 species
CUUCCUUUUAUACUCUCUGGAUAAUCUCUUUGUGAUCAACCGCCUAAAAACUGCUUGAUCGUUCUACAACUGUCCACUUUCUUCAUAAUGGCCAACUUGUCAUGGAAAGGCCUUUUUUUAACUGCUGCCAUUACUCUUCGUCGUUCAAUCGUUUUCGAUUGAAUUCCUUGAAUCGUGGAACGUGAUAGGGCUGCUUUAAUAACUGCUUUGAUAACUGCACUUCUUGAUAAUCACAACACUUUAUGUUUGCUAAGACCUUGGGCGACUCGAAUGUUUGGGCGAAAAUAAAAUAACAGCUCUGGGCGACUGCAUGACACUCCAUUCGCUCAGAUUCUGGGCGACUUGUAAAUUUGGGCGAUGGUGUUACCGCAUUCUUGGGCCUCCCUAUUUGGGUCUUUAUCUUGAAUUAUUUGAUUGGGUUUCGUUCUUUGGAAUAUCUGAUUUGGGGAUCUUCCAAUUGGGUUUCAUUCCUUGGGCCGUUCGAUUUGAGCUGAAUUUUUAUGUGUCAACAAGUUGCAAGUAAAACAUAACAACCAUGUAAACUUCAAUAACGAUUGAAUUUCUUCUGAAAAUGAGAAAAUAAUGCCCCUCAAACUGGGGUUCAAUAUCAUAUUAAUUUAGCGUGUGCAGCUAGUUUACCUGGUACAACAAAAAAUGUCGAAUUACACGACAAAUUAUUGAAUUAUUGCAAAAAUGAUUAAUACAUGUAAGUAAUGAAUCAUUGUGCUGUUCAUGCUUUGAUGAUGGAAAUUAGAGAAUAUGUGUGCGCGAUGGUGCAUUCAACAAGAUACUGUCAAAUCUCCAUUUCAUACAGUGCAGUUAGAUGACGGGCUUAGAGGUCAAUGAUUUUUUCUGAACUUAAUUUGCAAAUAAUGGAUAUAUGAAUGGCUUUUGUCCAAAUCCUUCGUAAAAGGGGAAAAAUCACAAUCUGUUACCAUCUCCAGCAAGAAAAUCACAAAAAUCAGAUUAUUUUCCAGAGGUAAUUUUCUCAAAAUUCAUCUUCGAUAUUCUAAACCCCUUGUCUACAUUUUUCUUGAUUCUCAAGAUUCAUUGGAGAAAGUCCAUAGUUUUUCAAUAUGGAUUUUUACAAGAUUUUGGAUAACGAAUGAAGCCUGGAAUUGAAUUUUUUGGUACUUCCUCGUAGUUUGUAAAUCUUAAGCAAUUAGGCAUUUCCAAUCUUUUCCGAGAACAUUUUUCCCUUUUCCUUGAAAUUCCUUUUUUUUUUUUUUUCCCAUUCACUGUCAUGACUGGCGAAUCUGUUUGAUGAUGAAGUUAAUCCAUCCGUGGUAAUUCCUUCUGGAUGGUUUAAAAUAGCUUCGUAACGUUCGUUCCACUCUUUUGCCAACGUGGUGUAUAUACAAUCGGUUAUACAGAACAAAGAAUAGAUUGUCUUUAGUAUUUGUCCCAUUUCUUGAAAGAUAAAAUACCUCCAAAUAAAUUUUUCUGCUACUAAUUUUCAACAACAGCUUAGGGCACACAGCACACGACAAAUCUUUGGCCUAGAAUUGGUGGGGUGCGCCAGGCCCUUGCAAUAGUGCAACACAUGGGCGACCCAUGAAAGCCCGGGAAGCAAGCUGCCUUGAUGGGCCUUCCCCCUCAAAAAAUAAAUUUAAUAUCGUGUGGGCCAUUGACCCACAUAUCAGAUAUUAAACUGAUAAGAACAGAUACUACACUUGAUCUUAGCCAAAAGGCCGAGAAAGGUAUGCCUAUUCAAAUGUUUGCCCAACUAUUUUAUAACACUAAGCUCUCUCUCAGGUUCCCUAAUAAUUCGAUGUGGGAUGGAAACAGUAUUGAAAAUGAUGGAUCAAAUGACUGAACAUGCUUGCAAUCCUAACUAUAUUACGAUAUAAAUCCUUAAUGAAUGGCUUUCUGCAG